AGCUCUAUCGUCCUGACCAAGCGCCUGAUGAAGAUACCGGGGCAGCGCAGCUAUCCAAUCAGCACUGAAGUAUCGCUCAAGGAUUGAGAAUGACACUUUGCUUCCAGAGAGGCUUGCUCGAAAAGUCCAUACUAAUCACUACUUGCUAUCAAUGCCGAAUUGCGGGAAAAACAAUGAAGGCUAAGUCUUUGAUUCCUUUGCAAUAACUCGAAUAUUACAAAAUUGGAUUGACUUUGAUUGAGAGUCUUCCGGCAUUAUCUUUAAUGUUGGGGCUGACGACAUUAUGGUUUUUGCUCUAAUUUCAGGAUUGAUCUCUUUAUGUUUCCGCUCUGAUUUUGGGAUUGCUAAUGGGAAUAAUUUCAUUAUUUUGGCUCCGUUUUUAUUAUGUUUAUUGUAUGUGAGCUCGUUUGAUGGAGGAAUGGGCUUUUAAUCCAAGUAUCGUUGCAUUGUUUCAGUGUUUAGGGGACUCCAGCGCUGAUACAACUCUUAAUAUAAGGCAUUGCUGCAUUAAUUCAAUUUCGCGAGGUUCAUUGUUAUCGGAGCAGUAGGGCAUCUGAAUCUGUACAGGUGGGACGGAGAUCAUCGUUACUCAGUCCACAGCUCAGCGCACGAGCGACAAACGGAUGGCUUAUCGACACACAAAAGGGCAGCGCAGGUAUGGCGGUAAUCUUCGAGGGCAGCGCAGUACGGUAACCUUAGAGGGCAGCACAGGUUCACGCAAUAGACUAAAUGGGCAGCGCAGGUUCACAAGGAAGAUUCAGUGCUGCUGCUCAGCCCGGGAAGAGGCUCUCAAUUUUCAGCGCAGCUACUCAGCUCGGGAAGAAAUUUGCAAUCUUCAGCGCUGUCGGCAAGGAUUAUCAGUGAACUCUCCAUCUGUGAACAUCAAGACACCCGGUCAUAAAGCCUUCCUUGGUCUUUAUGCCUGUCCUGCCAGGGAACCACAGAUUGAGAAGUGGGGAAGGUCCUCCGUUCGCUGCAGUUCUCCGAAUCCAGAGGAACCAAAAAUAUGGCGCUGCCUCAUUUGACAGGGAAGAUUUAAAUUUCGUCUGCUUAUUUUACUGGCAAUCCAGAAAAUUGAGCUCAGUUUAUCUGUUCUUUUAGUCAUUGAUAUAUAUGUAUAGGGGGAAUGUCUAGGAUUUUUGGAGAAUUUUGUGGGUUGCUAAAAUGCCUAAUCAAACUCAAGGGAUUUUAUGUGUUUAAUUGUGGGAUGGAUUUUCGGGAAUAUUGUUUGGUUAUCUAUGGUUAUAUGCACAUUUUUCUGUGAGAUUGUGUUGCUUUGGGGUUAUAUUUGUACAUGAUGGGGUGUAGUUCAAUGAGUUUUGUCAAUUUACUUGAUGUUGAAAUACUUGAAAUACUUGAGUGCCGAAGCUAGUUAUGUUGACCAGUUCUUCAUUUAAUCAAGAGUACGCUGCCUCAUUUGACAGAUGUACUUGUGAUACGUGGAGCAGGGUGAAAUUUAUGGGGAAUUCGAGAUUUGAAGUAGCUGAAAAUUCAUGCAGCCGUUCGUAGCAGCUCUGGCCACUCCGGGAGUGUCGCCACUCUAAUCAGAAGCUCUAACUUCCGACGCAGCACCUCCUCUCUGCGCAGCCAGCGCAGCCGCCUCACGCCCUCAUCGCUGCUCCGCUCGGCAGCGCAGCCAGCGCAGCUGCCUCUCUCCCUAGUCGUUGCUCUGCUCGGCUGCGCAGCCAGCGCAGCCGCCUCUCUCAAGCAGCCCGCGCAGCCAGCGCAGCAUUCGCCGCUCCUCUGCAACCCGCCGAAAUAGCGCCUAUUUCCGCCGAAAUCGCGCCGAGGGAUAUCUCUAAUCUGAGAGGGAGAUUUUUUCUUUUUGUUUAAGGAUUUCAUCGAUUAGUUCAUGCCAAGCCUAAUCUCUUAAUUUAUGCUCCUGCUUUUAAUUUCUCAUAAUUUUGUUCAAUUCCUGGUGCAAGGACAAAUGAAAUGUCGAGCAAUGAUUAUUGCUUAAGGGAAUUGCUGAUUGAAAGAGCUAACUGAAGCUCGGGAAAAUUCCGUCCAUGCCGUCGAUGGGUUCGGCACGAAGACAUCGCAGCUCCGGGUCUCCCUCUCCCCCGUUAUUAAGCUGCGCAGCCAGCUCCGGGUCUCCCUCUUCUCCGUCAUUAAGCUGCGCAGUCAGCUCGGGUUCUCCUUCUCUCUGUUAUUAAGCUGCGCAGUCAGCUCGGGUUCUCCCCUCUCCUUUGGCACCCCGAUCAAGUUCAAAUGAUUGGCGUAGCCGCCCUGACCAAGUUCUCGGCGAAGAUACAGAGGUAGCGCAGGCAGUCGAUGCAAGUGCUCUGGCAGCAGAUGCUUCUCUGGGUAACAAACACAACUUCAGCGCAGACAAAA
rnacentral:lncRNA from 1 species